rnacentral:lncRNA from 1 species
UGAGGCAGGAGAAUUGCUUAGAACCCGGGAGGCGGAGGUUGUAGUGAGCCGAGAUUGUGCCACUGCACUCCAGCCUGGCAAUAGAGUGAAACUCUGUCUCAAAAAAAAAAAAAGCAUUUAGGAGAUUGACCUGGGUCAAUUCUUUUUUCUUUUUGUCCCCUUUCCUCAGAUGUUCUGAAGGUUGGAAAUAUGACUUACUACCAUUACCUAACAGUUAUUUCUUCUUCUUUCCUAGUUAAUACAACCUGAUUUCAUUUGGGCCACAACAUGUACAAAGAAGGAAUACCUGUCCCCAGGCCUCAGAGAAAAGUCAUGAUUGAUUGAAGCUUAGCCCGUUCCCCUGCUAGAGAUUGCUUCUGAACUCAGCAUGUGGCCAAUUAUGGCCAAUGAGAUGGAAGAGUCUGGAAGCAGGCUUUUGGAAAGAUUCUUGUAGCCUAGUUAAAGAUAAAAUCCCGGAAAGGGAAAAGCCUUGUGUUGACAAGCUUAAGAGUGAAAAACC